rnacentral:rRNA from 1 species
CCACCCGUUUCCAGUUGGGUUUGGGAAAUGUGGGGUUAAUUCCCGCAAGGGGCGCACCCUUUUUCUUUUGUUCCAAGGGGUUAGGCCGGGAACUCAAAGGAGACUGCCAGUGAUAAACUGGAGGAAGGUGGGGAUGACGUCAAGUCAUCAUGGCCCUUACGAGUAGGGCUACACACGUGCUACAAUGGUGUAUACAAAGAGAAGCGACCUAGCGAGAGCAAGCGGACCUCAUAAAGUACGUCGUAGUCCGGAUUGGAGUCUGCAACUCGACUCCAUGAAGUCGGAAUCGCUAGUAAUCGUAGAUCAGAAUCCUACGGUGAAUACGUUCCCGGGCCUUGUACACACCCCCCGUCACCCCAUGGGAGUGGGUUGCCAAAGAAGUAGGUGGCUAACCCCAAGGGAGGGCGCUCACCAACU